AGAUAUUUAGUCUAAUAAAAUAAGACCAUCAAUUUCGACUUGAUAAAUUACAGUGAAAUUCUGUAAAUAUCUC
rnacentral:tRNA from 1 species